CUGGAAGAUAGAAAAAAUAGUUGGUAUCAAUCGACAGAAAUUGAAAGCAAAAAUAUGACUGGUUUUAUUCUUUGUACGACGAUUUUAUUUCUAUUGAAAAAGUAUUUCCUGCAGAUUUAUCACCAUUAUUCCUAUUAAAGAUACUCAAUUUUAUGAAAAGAUAUGGAAGAAAUCCAUUAGGAAUUACGGUAGGAGGCUUCUUUUACGUCAAAAGAAAUUUCGUAAUAAGGGUGAUUAGCGGACUUUACUCGACAUUGUCUUCGUUGAUUCAAGUGAGUGGUGUGAUGAAUAAAGAAAAAUUAUGCAAUGCAAAUCUUAGCAGUAAAAAUGUGUUUAACAGUACUUUGAAAUAGAUAAGUAGUGUUUUCCUUUGGAAACAUAAAAUAUUUACCUAAAUAUUUGUAAAUGUAUUGUCUACAAUUGUAUCAAGUAAUUAAGAUGUAGUCACUUAUUGAAAAAAAUAGUAGUACGUGUAAAACUAUUUCUAGAAUUUUUAACUUCAAAAUGCAAAUAUAUUCCGAAUGGAUAUGAAAAUUGUACCUCUUUACCUCAAAUCAGUACAUUUGCAACUUGUAUUGUAAGUUUUCAAAGCACAAUCUAUACAAAAUCCGUCAUAUUUUCGGUUAGCAAUCUAACUGUGCUCAUCUGCUACAGUUCAUUCCAAGAACAAUUUACAGAAAAUAUAAAAAAAAAAAACACUUUAAAAUACAUUAUAUUAUUAACUGUGAGAGGCAGCAGAAUUUGCUGAAGAGCAGUCUAUCAUCUGGUUAAACAGAUACUCGUACAAUAACAAAAAGUGUUAAAACUAUUAGGUGCAAGACUCUAAAAAGCCAUAAAACACAACCGCUAGAUAGAAUUAACUAGUAACAAGAUAAGCACUGGAUGAUCUAACAGUUAAUCCCAAAAACUUUUGGUUCAUAACUAGUAGAAAUAAUUAUCAUUUUUGUAAUUAGCUAUUUUCUGAUUUCUUUACAGUAAGUAAAGAUUUUUUUUUUAUUUUCUGGAAUUAAAGUUACUAUUUUUCAAGUUUAAUAAGACGUAAAUUAAAUAA